GGUAAGAUGGCCGAGACAGGUGGCGAGCUGUAGACUCGUUUACAGGGCGACAGCCCUUCUUAUCA
rnacentral:tRNA from 1 species